AGCCGCGUAGUGUAGUGGUCAAGCAUUUGGGGGUAUGAACCCUGAGACCGCGGUUCGAAUCCGCGCGCGGCUA
rnacentral:tRNA from 1 species